AACUCUCAACUGCUUUAGCUUUUUAAUAGUUAAAGUGAAGUUGGAUUUGGUGGAAUUGAUCAUUGCUGGUGUGACCUUUUCAGGUUGCUUGUUAGCUCCGCUUAAAUGGAUGAACUUUCCAGUAGUAAAGUAACACCAAUGUGAUAAUUAUCUACGUUGGAUGGGCUUUGUUACGAGGAAAGAUAAAUCUGUCUUGAAGGCAAAAAAACCUCUUGACGAAACAAAUGACAA
rnacentral:misc_RNA from 1 species